UACGGAAGGCAGCAGGGGGAAGUAUUGGACAAUGGGCGAAAGCCUGAUCCAGCCAUGCCGCAUGAGUGAAGAAGGCCUUCGGGUUGUAAAGCUCUUUUAGUGAGAAAGAUAAUGACGGUACUCACAGAAGAAGUCCUGGCUAACUCCGUGCCAGCAGCCGCGGUAAUACGGAGAGGGCUAGCGUUAUUCGGAAUUAUUGGGCGUAAAGAGCGCGUAGGCUGAUUAGUAAGUUAAAAGUGAAAUCCCAAAGCUUAACUUUGGAAUUGCUUUUUAAAACUGCUAGUCUAGAGAUUUGAAAGAGGAUAGAGGAAUUCCUAGUGUAGAGGUGAAAUUCGUAAAUAUUAGGAGGAACACCAGUGGCGAAGGCGUCUAUCUGGUUCAAAUCUGACGCUGAGGCGCGAAGGCUGGGGGAGCAAACAGGGAUUAGAUACC
rnacentral:rRNA from 1 species